GUACUCGCUUUGGUAGCAUAUAUACUAAAAUUGGAACUAUACAGAGAUUAGCACGGGCCCUGUGCAAAGAUGACACGUAAAAGAUCCCCAAGUGAUU
rnacentral:snRNA from 3 species